GGCGCCGGAAGUACAUUACUGUCUUUACUGUCUUUACUGUCUUUGAUCUUAUAGCUAGGUGAGUGUUUUUAAUACCAGAUACCUAUGAAAGAAGCGUAGCUAAUUUGAUGGUCUGAAUUUCAUUCUCUGGCUACCGUUAGCUAAGAUAGCAAGCUUAUCGUGUAUGUGGACACAGUAGUAUUGUUGACAGCACUGGCCGUUAGGUAUUUGUUACAAAUUGAAAUGUUCACAUGAUUCAUUUGAUAGGGUGUCAAUCUUACUUCGGGUGUGUUCAUUAGUCAGAUGACGUUGUAAAACGUUUUGUCUGUUUACAACUGAAACCAUUUUACUCUAAACAUAAAUACAUAAAUUUGCAACGAAAACGAGAGUUUCUAUUGGACAAAUUCAGUAACCAUGGAAUCUGCCUGUCGCAAAGACCAGCCAAAACUGAACUCCACUCCUACCAGAGGAGGCGGGGCCAAGCAGAAAUCUACCCAGCAGGAACUGCGACAGCGCACAGAGGUCUACACCCUGAAUAAGGUGAUGACAGAGCAGGAGCAGGAGCAGCAGAUGCUGUCCCAGGGAGAGUGACUGACAGCCUCCCCACGGCCUCCCAGCAACCUUAACCUCCAGCAGCCCUGUCCCAAAGCACACCUACAGGCUCAACCAGUAAAACAAGAGUAUUUCUUACAGAUCACACACAUUGAACUGUGAAUGGCUGGUCCUGUUAUGUAGCAAUCCCCAUAGACAUGAGAAUGAUGUGGGUCACUGUGGGUCACCUUUGUGUAUUCUCACCGGUUGCCUUUCCUGUCUUCUCAUGUGCUGAAACACUCUUGUUUGCUGGUAUGUGUAAUGUUGUCACUGUACCAGUCACCAUGUUAAACACUGUUUUCUGGCAAGGAGUGUAAGGACCAUCACACGCAGACAGACUCAAACACUAUGCGGAUACAGCCAUUGGUUAUCAACAUGCUCCACAUGUGGACAUACAUUGUAACAAUGUAACAAUGAGGUUUAUUGGUGGAUAUUCUAUGUGCAGAGAAGGACUGUGUAAUGAAGAGGUGUCAGGUUUCAGUCCCAGAGGACCAUAUGAGAUGGCCAGGCCUUUGUACCAGGCCAGCUCCAGCACCUGAUUUCAACUGUUCGAGCUGUCUUUAAUUUGUACCACGAUCAUUUAAAUCAGGUGUAUUACAUGGCUGGAACAAAAACCUGCACAGGACUCAUUAUGCCCACCUAUUGGUGUAAUGUAUUUGUAACAGGUAUGUGAUGGAUCUGAGUGGCUACUGCUGUGUCAGUCCCAGACAAAGUUAGAUGCCACCUCUGUCCCCUUUACUCUUUGCCCAUCUCUCAAUCUAUACUGUGUCAAUAUGAAUUGUGCUUAUUUAUGCUUGGUUUUAAACACCUUGUUUUAGAGUAUUGUUUGUGUACUACAGUGAGUACAGCACUGUAUAAAAUAUGCUUAUCUCAACUCUGAUACAGUUCAGUCCAAAUUCUGUAUCCUAGUUGUGUCUGUCCACUUCCACACUGCUGUUAUUGUGACCGUCUUAACAUGCUGUUCCACCGUUAUCGUUGUAUCAACGUUUGAUACACUGUCGUCUAAAACAUGUUCUUAAAGCCUUGUUUUAAUGAA